UUGACCGGGGUGAUACACCUGUCAUAUGGUAACACAGGUAUCCUAAGGCUAGCUCAGGGAGGACAGAAACCUCCCAUGGAGCAGAAGGGCAAAAGCUCGCUUGAUCUUGACUUUAAUUAUAGCACAUAAAUUUUAAUAUGCUUUGUUUCCAUUCAAUUCAAAACAUCUUAUGAUUUUCCUUUUUUAUUCUUUGAUUCAUAAAUUAUGUAAAAG
rnacentral:ncRNA from 1 species